ACAAACAUGAGACUAGGGGAUGUGUUGUUGCCACCAUGGAAAAAACAACGGUGCUUGUGACCAAGGUUGCAAGGAUUGUUUACCUUACGCAAAGUUCAUUAAUGUAGUUGUCCAUUGCUUUGAGUUUACACUUUGGGUGGGGCUUCCUACUUAAUACCAGCGAGAUGUUCUGGGUAGAUAUCUCAAGGUGGAUGAUUAGUAAGUUGAUGCUGAUGGAUAAACGGUCUACUUGUCUUGGCGUACUACCCAUUACUUUUGAGCCUCUAACUUUCUAGUAGCAUGAUUAGCAUUGCGGUGCAUUUAUAAUUUUUUCAAUUGCCCGACUGUAAUUUGUUUACGCAACAUAGUUGUUUAUCGUCUUUUGGGAGAGAUACAUCACUAGUGAACAUCAUGUGACUCACAUCCGUAUUACCACCAUUGUUUACACCUCCACCAUUUACUUCGUUCAUUUACUUUUCUGUUGCAAUCACUAUCACUAUUCCUGCUUGUGUUUUGAUCCUUUGUAAACUACAAGGCCGGAGAGACUGACAACCUCUCUGUACUUGUUGGGAGCAAAGUUAUGUGUUGUGCGUGCAGGUCCACGUCUUGUGCUAGCACCAGAGAAGCGGACACCCACUUGUUGAUCCUCGAAGUCCUCCUGGUUCGAUAAACCAUACAGUCCCCGUGUAAGGGAAAUCUGAUGUUGACUACAUCUCCACCUUCACAUGGGGUAACCAACGAGGGGUGAGAAAUAUAUCCAUCAACUCAUCAUCAAGGAAAUUUCUGGCGCCGUUGCCGGGGACUCAAGUCUUCAAGAUAGGGGAGUUGCACACUAUCUUUUACCUUUGCUUUUAGUCUUACUAGUUAGGCUUAAUGGAAAACAACAAAAAUAUGAGAGAUUUAUAAACUUUAUCUUGAACUUGGACAUGAAGUGUUUGAGGAGAAAAUUAAAAUAUCUAUGGAACUUUAUUAUUUG
rnacentral:lncRNA from 1 species